GAUGAACGCUGGCGGCAUGCCUAAGACAUGCAAGUCGAACGAAGUGGCCCAACAAUAAUGGAGUGCUUGCACAAAAUUUGCGAUGGAAUUUCCACUUAGUGGCAGACGGGUGAGUAACACGUAAGUAAUCUACCUUAGAGACUGGAAUAAUGUUUGGAAACGAGCACUAAUACCGGAUAAUUCAUAUUUAGAUAACUAGAUAUGCUAAAAGAAGCGUUUGCUUCACUUUAAGAUGAGCUUGCGGCGUAUUAACUAGUUGGCGGGGUAACGGCCCACCAAGUCGAUGAUCAGUAGCCGAACUGAGAGGUUGAUCGGCCACAUUGGGACUGAGAUACGGCCCAGACUCCUACGGGAGGCAGCAGUGGGGAAUAUUGGGCAAUGGGGGAAACCCUGACCCAGCAACGCCGCGUGAAGGAAGAAGGCC
rnacentral:rRNA from 1 species